AACACUACCUUUAAAACAAAGACAGAAAAAACUAUUGAAGCCCACAUUUAUGAGUUACCGGUUUAGAGGUGAAAGAAAAUGAGUGGGGUGUCCAGAGACGGCCCAGAAGGCAUUGCUGCUCUUGGGAUAUGCUGUCUGUGAACGGCACGCCAGCAGGCCACAGUCUCUUACCUGCGACCAGCUCUCAAAUGACAUCAUGUGCUGAAUAGUCCCAGGAAUUGGCCCAUUCGUUCCCUGAAAACCCUCAAGAUCUGAUAACGUCCACCGGACACCCCCUCACAGACACUCACGAGAUGUGCCCCGUUAACUUCCCAGGCAUCUCUUAAUCUUAGCGCGUUGACAAUCAAGGUUGAGCGUCCCAACAGCAUAAAGAUGCCCAAGGAAUACAUGACAAGCCGCGCAACAUCCCUACUCAUCGUGGGAAUUAAAGUGAAGGAAAGACUGCUGGUUUCUAGCUCUGCAUGACGGAGCGUGGAAGUUUCCAGUUCAUGCUCACACAAACACCCGGGUGAACCAGCUAGAAACCAAACAGCUCUCCUAGGCCGUGCAAGGGAGGUGAGGACAGCAAAGAAACUUGGGAGUUCAGCGUUAAAGGCACCAGGUGGCCGGCGACCUUAUCACACUUCCCCGACCCUCAGCAGCACACUAGAGGUCUCAUUCUGCAGUCCCUGUACUUGGAGCAAUUGUGUGUGAUUACCAAGAAAAAGGCCCACGCAGGCGAGGACAAAGAGCGAGUUCAAAGGAAUCCACGCCCGGAGGCCUCCUGGAAGACUUACGAAGCAAAGAGGGGAUUGCUGGAGGGAUGUAUCAAGGGUUCUGUACAUGCAAGGGCAUUCAUUGCUCGGCCCUGUGGCUGCAAUCCGGUUUUCAUUGCCCUGGGUCUCAAGGGAGGCUACCUCACGUUGAGAAGACUCACUGGAAAGCCUACCUCACGUUGAGAAGGCCCAAUGGAAAGCCUUCCUAGGAGGAGUAGGUCAGGCAGAAGAUAGAAUGUGAGGACCUGGAGACACAGCCGAGCAACUGGAAAACACUACCUUUAAAACAAAGACAGAAAAAACUAUUGAAGCCCACAUUUAUGAGUUACCGGUUUAGAGGUGAAAGAAAAUGAGUGGGGUGUCCAGAGACGGCCCAGAAGGCAUUGCUGCUCUUGGGAUAUGCUGUCUGUGAACGGCACGCCAGCAGGCCACAGUCUCUUACCUGCGACCAGCUCUCAAAUGACAUCAUGUGCUGAAUAGUCCCAGGAAUUGGCCCAUUCGUUCCCUGAAAACCCUCAAGAUCUGAUAACGUCCACCGGACACCCCCUCACAGACACUCACGAGAUGUGCCCCGUUAACUUCCCAGGCAUCUCUUAAUCUUAGCGCGUUGACAAUCAAGGUUGAGCGUCCCAACAGCAUAAAGAUGCCCAAGGAAUACAUGACAAGCCGCGCAACAUCCCUACUCAUCGUGGGAAUUAAAGUGAAGGAAAGACUGCUGGUUUCUAGCUCUGCAUGACGGAGCGUGGAAGUUUCCAGUUCAUGCUCACACAAACACCCGGGUGAACCAGCUAGAAACCAAACAGCUCUCCUAGGCCGUGCAAGGGAGGUGAGGACAGCAAAGAAACUUGGGAGUUCAGCGUUAAAGGCACCAGGUGGCCGGCGACCUUAUCACACUUCCCCGACCCUCAGCAGCACACUAGAGGUCUCAUUCUGCAGUCCCUGUACUUGGAGCAAUUGUGUGUGAUUACCAAGAAAAAGGCCCACGCAGGCGAGGACAAAGAGCGAGUUCAAAGGAAUCCACGCCCGGAGGCCUCCUGGAAGACUUACGAAGCAAAGAGGGGAUUGCUGGAGGGAUGUAUCAAGGGUUCUGUACAUGCAAGGGCAUUCAUUGCUCGGCCCUGUGGCUGCAAUCCGGUUUUCAUUGCCCUGGGUCUCAAGGGAGGCUACCUCACGUUGAGAAGACUCACUGGAAAGCCUACCUCACGUUGAGAAGGCCCAAUGGAAAGCCUUCCUAGGAGGAGUAGGUCAGGCAGAAGAUAGAAUGUGAGGACCUGGAGACACAGCCGAGCAACUGGAAAACACUACCUUUAAAACAAAGACAGAAAAAACUAUUGAAGCCCACAUUUAUGAGUUACCGGUUUAGAGGUGAAAGAAAAUGAGUGGGGUGUCCAGAGACGGCCCAGAAGGCAUUGCUGCUCUUGGGAUAUGCUGUCUGUGAACGGCACGCCAGCAGGCCACAGUCUCUUACCUGCGACCAGCUCUCAAAUGACAUCAUGUGCUGAAUAGUCCCAGGAAUUGGCCCAUUCGUUCCCUGAAAACCCUCAAGAUCUGAUAACGUCCACCGGACACCCCCUCACAGACACUCACGAGAUGUGCCCCGUUAACUUCCCAGGCAUCUCUUAAUCUUAGCGCGUUGACAAUCAAGGUUGAGCGUCCCAACAGCAUAAAGAUGCCCAAGGAAUACAUGACAAGCCGCGCAACAUCCCUACUCAUCGUGGGAAUUAAAGUGAAGGAAAGACUGCUGGUUUCUAGCUCUGCAUGACGGAGCGUGGAAGUUUCCAGUUCAUGCUCACACAAACACCCGGGUGAACCAGCUAGAAACCAAACAGCUCUCCUAGGCCGUGCAAGGGAGGUGAGGACAGCAAAGAAACUUGGGAGUUCAGCGUUAAAGGCACCAGGUGGCCGGCGACCUUAUCACACUUCCCCGACCCUCAGCAGCACACUAGAGGUCUCAUUCUGCAGUCCCUGUACUUGGAGCAAUUGUGUGUGAUUACCAAGAAAAAGGCCCACGCAGGCGAGGACAAAGAGCGAGUUCAAAGGAAUCCACGCCCGGAGGCCUCCUGGAAGACUUACGAAGCAAAGAGGGGAUUGCUGGAGGGAUGUAUCAAGGGUUCUGUACAUGCAAGGGCAUUCAUUGCUCGGCCCUGUGGCUGCAAUCCGGUUUUCAUUGCCCUGGGUCUCAAGGGAGGCUACCUCACGUUGAGAAGACUCACUGGAAAGCCUACCUCACGUUGAGAAGGCCCAAUGGAAAGCCUUCCUAGGAGGAGUAGGUCAGGCAGAAGAUAGAAUGUGAGGACCUGGAGACACAGCCGAGCAACUGGAAAACACUACCUUUAAAACAAAGACAGAAAAAACUAUUGAAGCCCACAUUUAUGAGUUACCGGUUUAGAGGUGAAAGAAAAUGAGUGGGGUGUCCAGAGACGGCCCAGAAGGCAUUGCUGCUCUUGGGAUAUGCUGUCUGUGAACGGCACGCCAGCAGGCCACAGUCUCUUACCUGCGACCAGCUCUCAAAUGACAUCAUGUGCUGAAUAGUCCCAGGAAUUGGCCCAUUCGUUCCCUGAAAACCCUCAAGAUCUGAUAACGUCCACCGGACACCUCCUCACAGACACUCACGAGAUGUGCCCCGUUAACUUCCCAGGCAUCUCUUAAUCUUAGCGCGUUGACAAUCAAGGUUGAGCGUCCCAACAGCAUAAAGAUGCCCAAGGAAUAC